GUCUACCUGACAUUGGCCCUGGUGUGUACCACAUUCAGAGACAUUGUGUCCACCAAUUAUUUGAGAAGACGGGCACAUUUUCAGUGGCUUGACAGUGUUGCUACAUGGAGUAGGUUUUCUGCAACGUACAAAAAAGCUUUCUGCACCAUGUACUGACACCUGUAUUGACAUACUGUAUUGACACCUGCCUUGGAUGUGGACGACUAUAUAAAAACUGCACACCAGGAUAUGUUGGGACAGGAAAAAGGGGAGCGCUAGAAGCAAUCUAUUCCGAAGCUGAAGAUCCGGGAUACUGCAAUCACUUCUGCAGCCAAUUGCAAUCGGUGUCCCUCUUGCCUGUCCUCCAGCCCCUGCACGUCGAGAGGAGCAGACACCCGUUUGUGCCCAGAGGACAUUACUCACAUGUUGGACUUUUGAGAAUACUUUGCAAAAUCUCAUGACACUGUUAUUGUUGUAAAUAUAUAUAUAUAGUUAUAUGUCCUUAAGAUGUUCUUGUUAAUGUUUGUGUUGUUGUUUCUGCAUACAAGGUUGACCUGUACUUAGUUUGUUUCGAUUGAAUAUGCAUGUUAAGUAUUACCUUAGUUUGUUUCACUAGUCACUUUUGUUGUACAUAGUAACUUUAAAUUGUUACCUUUUUUCCACAUUUGUAUAUAGUCACUGUUAGUACCUGGAAGCAGUAGGAGUGAGCUGCCUUUUCUUUUGACUUGUUUUCUCAUGUUUUUUCAUAGUUUAGGAUGUUAGUUUUAGUGAUGGUCUUUUUUAUUAUUUACUUUGACAUAGGGUUUAGGUAGCUUGAACUUCCCUUUAAAAUCUAGUUUGUUUUGUUUAAUUAUUUUGGCCUUGGUUCACUCCGAAGAGAAGCUUCAUUUUCAGUUUGGUGUAUUGUUUGUGUG
ensembl:lncRNA